GCAGAUUAAGCUAGUUUUAACACUUGAGGAGCUUAAAUACAAGCACUUUUAUUAUGUUUUAGUUGAGUUUUUAUAGUUUAGGUUACAAUCAAUAAAAAAGUGUAUUUUGAGUCUUUUAUUGACCUUAGGGACCGAAUGAGGCCUCAAGGCAAGCUAAUGUGCUUAGUUAGUGUACAGGAGAUCAUGCAAGGGCAUAGGAACUUAAUACUUGUGUUGCAACAUAGGGUGUUUGAGGUUGCAACAUAGGGAGCAGAAUGCAAGAAUUGCCAUACUGUCUUUGGUAUUGCGACACACCCCUAAAGCCAUCCGUGAACUACACAUACUACCCUAGAUGUAGUGACACCGGCCUUUUAUGGGAGAUAAUUAUGAACCAAGGACGUUUUAGUCCAUACAACCAAUAGUUAAACAUGAGAGCAUCAGCAAAUCUAGGGUUGAAGUUGAUGGCAACCUUAACUUUAUAAAUAGGCUCCUAAACACUUGUUAAAGGAUGACUUUUGAUAUUCUAAGCCUUUUUUGUAAUUUAGUUUUCCAGUUUUUUUCUUUCUCUUAAGUUUAGAUUUCUUUUCAGUUUUUUUCAUUCGUGUUCUUUGGAGAAAUUGAUUUGUAGACACUGUAUUAGCCCAAAUUUGACCGGGCUGAAGAUAGAAUAAAAAGGGUUAAAUAAAUAAGUAUUUAUCUAUUUUAAAAGUCCAUUAAAAGUCCAUAUACAGAGUCCAAAAGAAUUAAACCCCAGCAGCCCAAAAUACACCCGUAGCCCAAUUUAAACCAAACCAGGUUACACCUAAGCCUAAAUAACAGACCCUAGACUAAAGUGGCCCAAAAGGCCCAAAACGGUAAAAACAGACAAGGAAACCCUAGGGUUUCCUGAGAACACAGCGCCGCAAGGAGUUUCUAGAAGAUUUGGGCACUCCAAACGACGUGACCUUUCAUCUCACAGAUUCAACGGCCCAAUCGUCGCCACCAAGCACGCCGUGAUUUCUCGUCUCUGUCACCACUAGACUUCAGGCCUCCAUCAGCGCUAGCAACCUUCCAUCACCGAGAUCUUCGGGGUACCUGCAAGAAAUGGAAAGAAAUCAAAGCAAAAGGUAGCAGAUAUACUAGAGCAGGAAAUGGAAAUAAAUCUUCUGAUUUCUUUCCAAAAUAGGCAGUAGUCUGAGGCUAUAAAGCCUUUCGCAAAAUCUGUAAAUAGGAGGAUAUGAGAAGAAAAAAAAAUACAGAAAAAAGAUUUUACUAGCAGUUGUAUCCAUUUAGAGCAGAAGAAAUAAAAAAGCAGUUCUUUUUUCGUUUCUUACGGUAAUCAAAUCAUUUUUUUAUUCUUUUCUUUUUCUUCUAUUUGUUUUCUGACCUGUAUACAUUGAUUUGAGAAAUAAUAAAAGAAAAUAAAAGAAAAAGGAGGCUACCUAACGAUUGGCGAAGGAAGGGAAUGGUUUUUUGAACCCUAGACACUGUGCGCGGUGGUCCUUAGGGAGGCGCGUGGGCGCGUGAAGCCUACGACUGGGGCGAGGCCUACAGAGGCCAAAGCCCAGAGCUUCUCUCCUUUCUCUCUUUUUCAGAGAAAAUUUUAGGUUUUUUUUUAAAAAAAUCGGGUUUCAAAUGAGUUUAAGGUUGAGAAGUUGGCUUAUAUAGCCUUAAUGAAGCGAUAUAGUUUCAUAACCCCAAGAUCCGCGCGUUGACCCGAUUACCCGGGGAGGAUCCGCGUGUUUUUUUAGGAUUGGGUUAAUUACCCAAUUGAUCCUUCCACCCUUUUUGCGUUUACAAUUAAGUUUUAUUUUAUUUAUGAUUUAACCUUAAUACUUUGCCUCAAUUGUGAUUUAAUCCCUAAAGUAGCUGCUUUAAAUCCCAGUUUAAAACGCAGUCGUUUUGGGAAUAGGAAAAUUUUCCCAAUGAGUCCCUUUUGUUUUGCGCUUGUUUUAAUUAGGACUUAAAUUCAGUUCUAUUUCUUUUGAAUUCGCCUAGUAAUUUUGCUGAAUUUUAAAUUUAGCCCAAUAGAUUUAUUUUUAUUAUUAUAUAUAAAUAUUUCAUAUAUUGUAAUUUGCUUUUGUUUUUUUUACCCUACUUUUAUAUUAUAUAUUGAAAAAUUAUUUUAUUAUAUAUAUUAAUAUUAUUUAUUAUCUAUUGUUUUUCACAAAAUAUUAUUAUUUUACAUCAUUAUUUUUUUAUAAUUAUUCUAUUUUUACUUGUAUUAUAUAUUUAUUAACUAUUUAUAUAUAUAUUUUUGACAUAUAUACUCUUAUUAUUUUAUAUUAUAUCUAUUAUAUUUCUUAUUUCCUAUAUAUUUAAACUAUAUUUUAUUAUAUAACGUUUAUUAUAUUUUUAUUUUUAUUCUAUAUUACUUACUGUUUUUGUUAUGUAUAUCAUAUAUUAUCUAUUAUAUUAUUUAUGUUUAUAUGAUUCAUUAUAUUAUUUAUAAUUUUAAAAUUUGUAAAUUAAAUUAUUUUUUUAAAAACUCAUAUUGUAUUCAUAUUAAAUUAUUAAUUAUUAAUUAUUUUAUAUUUUUUAUAUAUUAUGUGUUACUUUAUAAGCUCUCUCACAUACUUUUAAACCAAUAUAUUUUAUAUAUAAUUAUUACCCUUUUAUAAAUAUUUUGUUAAUAUGUAUAUUGUAUAUUAAAUACUAUUUUAAAAUUAUUAUUAAAUAUCAUGUUUUAUUUGUGUUUCAUGUAUAUUUUGUUAACAAUUGCUCAUUUCAUUUUAUUUUAUAUUGCAUAUAUCAUGUGUUAAAUGUCAUUUUAUAUUUAUUAUUUGAUAUUACAUUUUAUGAACAUGUUCAUUGAUGUUGUAUUACUUUGUUGUAUAUCAUGCAUUAUCUAAGUAUUACAUUGUAUGUUUGGACGUUUUGUUUAUUCAUUUCUCAAUACAUGCUAUAUAUAUCUUUGUAUGCAUAUUGUUAAUAUUUGCUAUGUAUAUAUUAUCUUUAUAUGAAUGUAUCUAAUGCACGAUCUUUAUAUUAUUACCCUCAUUUUGAUUAAAUGCACGUAUUAUUUAUUUACUAUAAUAAUAUGUUACUAUGUAUAAUUUAUAAUACAAUACAAUUCCCCAUGCAUCAUUUUAAGGCCCCAAAGUUUUCAAAAAAAUAUAAAGGCAAUGCUUGGUGUUUGGAAAUUUCGAGAAAGUAGUGCCCUAACUUAUUGGGUUGCAACUUUUCUCGUUAAGUUUGAAUAAUCAAGUACCCUUCUUAGUUUUUAAAUGUUUGCAAAACGUGAGCAACUGUCUUGGAAUCGCAAAGCAACAUGUCCUAACUUAUUGGAUGUAGCGUUUUGUUGUUUCGAGAUAGGGAUUUCUAAAAAGCUAACUUAGUGUCAAUACUUUGAUACGAGUGAACUCUAAUUUACAAAAAAAAAUCAAAAUAUUCUAAAAGGGAUUGCAUUCUUAAAAUUUUUGAAUCUCCGACAUUAAAGACACUUGAUAAUCAAUUAGGUACCAAUUUUUGGGCGUUACGAGGGUGCUAACCCUUCCUCGUACGUAACCGGCUCCUGAACCCGUCUUCUGAUUUCGUAGACCAAAACUAAUGAUUUAAAAAAAAUGUUUAAAAGGUGAUCCAAUCACACCUAAAAGGAUUGGUGGCGACUCCCUUUUUUGUUUUUUAAAGUCGACUCCCAUUUUACAAAACUCGAUUUAAAAAUGGUUUCGAUAGCUUGGCGACUCCACUGGGGACUAAUAAGAGAGUCAAGCCGUGUAAUUGAUUAUCUCUUGUCUUAUUGUGGAAAAUUAAAAAUUUUAAAAUUUAAUCUUCUUUGCAUUACAUGUGUUUGUAUUAUUACAUGUGUUGCUAUAUUCUAAUACGCAUUGCAUUUGCAUGACCGUUGUGGUCACACCUUUAAGUGGGAGUGAGAAACUAUGCCUUCGUGAGGUUUUUGCCUUCAUACAGGAUAGUGGAUCACUUUCGGAAUACAUCCGUACUUAUGGUUUUGUGAGAUUUUUAUCUCCGUGUAGCCAUAGGGAAAUGUAUUCCCCUGAACCAAACUCCAUUCAAAUGAGCCCAUAAUGGGUGAGAAUCGAGGAAUCUGCUGGUUUAGGUACCUCAAAUUUUAGAACCAACCUCAUAUCGAAAGAUCAUAUGAGCCCAACUUAGUUAGGUUUAAACUUUAGAUAUUACCCUUAUAAGUUAUCGUUGAAAUUUAUUGAUAUCAUGUGAUACUGACUAUUUCUUUUCUUUUGUUCACAUGUCAUUUUGCAUUUACAAAGGUAUCGAUUCACGAUCAGUUUCUAAGUUAGGAAGUUUUAUUAUGGAGAACGGACUUCUUCAUAAGUGGAAGGCAACGCUAAUGACCAUAGAUGGUCUGAGCAAACUCAACUAUAAAAGGGAGAUAGUAUAGCUGAGGGAUACGUGUCAGAGUUGUCAGAUUACACUCGCAUUAGUGUCACGCAGAAUAAUCUCCAGGAGCUUAAGGAAAUUUGGGAUCAGUGGGGCAAAGAGACCAAGCAGUUAUUCUACGAUAAUUAUGGAGACUUACCUUACUUGCUUGAUGUUCAGAUAGUCGAGCACUUAUUCUGAACCCUUGCUCAGUUUUGGAACCUGGCGUACAAUUGCUUCACUUUUGGGGAAGUAGACAUGGUACCUACUGUGGAGGAGUACACGGCCUUGCUUCGUUGUCCCAGAUUUCAGAACGAUAGAAUCUAUUCUCAAGCUGCUUGUGUCCCUACCUUUUGGAAGAAAUUGAUGAUUAUUACAGGGAUGGGCGAGCAGUGGGCCAUGGCCCGAAUUAAGGAAAAGGGUGAGUGCAAGUGCAUUUCGUGGGACACUUUGAAAGAUUUGAUUCUGACACACCUUGAUGAGAUGAAGAAGGUAGAUGUUUUUGCCUUAAGUUUGUAUGGAUUAAUGGUUUUCCCUAGGGCUUUGGGAUAUGUGGAUGAGGAAACCACGGAUCUUUUUCAUCGACUCAGUAAAAAGGUCACUUCUGUCCCUGCAAUUUUGUCGGAAACAUUCAGGUCUUUAGGUGCAUGUAGGAGGGCUGGUGCUGGCAGGUUUAUAGGGUGUGCUCAGCUACUUUUGGCUUGGUUCUACAGUCAUUUCCGGUUGAUAGAUAGGGUGGUUUGUUGGGUUUUUUUCGAGGACUAUUCACUGUUGAAAGAUAUAGUAGCUUCAACUAGGAGAGUUGAUGUUCCAGAAGAGAAUUGGAUAGCGCUACUUUAGAAUCUUCAGUCGAAAGAUGUCGAGUGGAGGGCUCCGUGGAUGAUGCUUGGAGAGGUUCUUUAUCGAUGCGGCAGUUUUGAUUGGGUACCCCUAUUGGGAAUUUAGGGUGCCAUUGGUUAUACCCCUUUGCUCGUGCUGAGGCAGCAUGGAUUGAAACAGUUCGUAUCGACGACUCAGGGGUUGGCUCAAAGUGAGUUCGUAUAUAGAGGAGCCGAUUACAAGAGGAAAGUUAGUGAAGUUUCUAAUGCUUGGAAAAAGACUUGUCGGUUGAAAAGAGUAGCUAUUAGUCCUGCAACCACACCGGAAUACAUUGAAUGGAGAGGCAGAAGGGUUAACGAUAAUAUCCCUAAGCCAAGUGUGGAAGGAGCUCGACCGAUGGAAGAAUAUUUGCAAGUAAGGCCCUCAGAGUCAGAAAUUAUGAAGCAGGAGUUCGAGAGAAAGAACUUGGAGUUCGAGAAGAGGAUAGCAAAGCUUGAAGAGGAAAAGAUGUACUUGAGUUUAGACGUCGAUGUUCAAAAGAUGGAGCUCGAGAAAGAGAGAAAAGAAAAGAGGAAGAUCGAGAUGAUCUAAAGGAACAUUACAAAUGGGCACAAGUAUCCUUAAGGAGGGCGACGAGAGUAGGAGGAUCUUCAGAUCAGUUGCAGAAGGAGGUCCAAAAGGAAAAGGCUAGGGCCGAGUAUUGGGAGAGGAAGUUCCAAGAGAUACAGGUACAGAAUUUGGCAUUAGAGGAAGAAAAUAAAGGGUUGAAGACUAGGGUAACUGAGCUUGGAAGAUCCCUACAUUGGCACCAAAACCAUAACUCUACGGUCGAGUUAAAGGAGCUAAAAAGCAAGGUUGAGGAUUUGAAAAUGGCAUUGCAUGACGGUGAACUCCGGGUUGAGCAGCUUGAGGCACAAGAGGACUAUUUGAAGGGAGAGCUUCAUCAGGCUAGGGGACAGGUCAGAGAAAGGGAUCAUGUCAUUGGUGAGGCCAUAGCCCAAAUUCGAGAGGUCGCCGAAUAUGUACAAGACUUAGCAAUUCGAGUUGAUGUAUUGAGUCUGAUGCAUUCAUCAUCGUCGAAUGUAGGAUGAGAGUUAACCCUUUUAUUAGAUAGAGUUAAAGCUUUGGGCCUUAGGGCGAAAGCGUAUUUGUAAUCCUCUUAUAUGUAAAGAUAUUAUUUUUCUAAAUAAAAUUUUCUAAAUGAAGUUGAACCAGAAUCGAUAUCCUUUUUACAUUCAUGCAUUUACAUCUCAUAGCAUUUCAUCAUAUCAUUUGCAUUCAAAGUUAUAGAAAGACCCUGAUUAGUUAAAAUUUUCUUCCAAAGGUAGAAAGGAAAAUCUGGAAAUCACACAUCCUUACGGCACUCGCACUAAAACUAAAAGCAUGGAUCAAAGGUUCGAGCAAUUACAAAAAGAUAUGCAAUACCAAAUGCAAGAGCAGUUGGCUAAAAUGCAGAAUGAAAUGAGGGAGCAAAUGCUAGAGGCUCAGAGGAACAUGAUGGCUGAAAUGGCUCAGCUGUUGAGAGCCACUGAUAAAGGAAAAGCUCCCAUGGUGAUCACUGAAGAGGAGAAUGAGGGUCCUCCUCCAAGUUUUACUCCGCCUCAUGUGCCACUACAAACUGAAGCACCUCCUAGAAGGCCAUCUGUUACCGUGAGGCCUCAGCAUGGGCCAGUUGAUGCUGGAAUCCCCGUAAAUUUCCCAUCUGGGUUGGGAAAUAAUUUGGGUGAUAGCUCGGUCAACCCUAUCACUCAUGAUCUGGAUUUUUGAAAAGGAAAGAAUGGCAACUGAAUCCGCAAAACAAUUUGAAGAUCGUUGCAGGUGGUUAGAGGAGAAGUUUAGGGUUUUGGAAGGCGCUGGCAAUCAUCAUGGGAUUGAUGCAAAAGACCUAAGUUUGGUCCUAGAUUUGGUGCUUCCUCAUAAAUUUAAGAUGCCAGAGUUUGAAAAGUACAACGGAACUACUUGCCCAGAGGCACACAUAAUAAUGUUCUGUAGGAGAAUGACUGGAUAUGUGAACAAUGAUCAAUUAUUAAUCUAUUGUUUUCAGGAUAGCCUGGUAGGAGCAGCGGCUAGAUGGUACAAUCAGUUGAGCCGUGCAAGAAUCAGUUCAUGGAGAGAUCUGGCACAGGCCUUCAUGCAACUGUACAACCACGUGACUGAUAUGACGCCAGAUAGGAUCACACUUCAAAACAUGGAGAAAAAGCCUAAUGAAAAUUUUAGGCAAUAUGCACAACGAUUGAGGGAGGUGGCAAUGCAAGUACAACCACCAUUGUUGGAAAAGGAGACCCCCAUGUUAUUUAUUAAUACUUUGAAGGCGCUAUUCAUCACACAUAUAAUUGGAAGUACCACGAAAAGUUUCGCGGGUAUAGUUAUGGCGGGUGAGAUGAUUGAAAAUGCCAUGAGGGGCGGCAAAAUUGAGGGGGAAGUGGCUAAAAGAUCAGCCUCAAGGAGAAAAGACAAUGAGGUGAAUAACAUGAACAGUUUCAACUCCAGGGUAAUCACAAUUGGACAACCUAAAGUAGGUACGGGUGAGCAACAAAGUACUCAAAGACAGGAAUCGGGUACAAGACAGAAUUCGGAGAGGAUGCAAUUCGCUCCUAUCCCUGUGACAUAUCGUGAGCUUUAUCAAAGCUUAUAUGAUGUACAAGCCAUUGCUCUGUUUCACUUAAAACCACUGCAGCCACUAUACCCUAAAUGGGAUGAUGCAAAUGCUAAAUGCGAAUAUCACGCGGGAAUAUCAGGGCAUUCAAUUGAAAACUGCACUUGUAACACCCCGUACCCGAGACCGUUGCCGGAGUCGGACACGAGGGGUUAACAGGCUUAAUUCCCUUAUUUUUACAGUCCAUUUUAAAAAUUUCUAGACUAGCUGGCUAACUGCGUCACUGUCACCUUAAAAAUCAUAUCUUGAGUUCCAAAACUAGAAAAUCAGUUUCGUAAAUUUUCCCUGAAACUAGACUCAUAUAUCCAUCUACAAAUUGUUUUCUAUAAUUUUUGGUCAGGCAAAUUAGUACAGUUUAUUAGUUAAAGUCUCCCCUAUUUCAGGGUUCGACUGCUCUGACCUUCAUGCAUUACGACUUAUAUAUCUCCCUGUACAGGGCUUCAAUACUUAUGACGUUUGUUUUUAAAGAAACUAGACUCGAAAAGUAAUCUAUACAUAUAUGGCAUGACUUCUAACUAUCUCUGGUUAAUUUAAAAUGAAUUUCCUAAUUCCAAACAGGGAAUCCAGAAACUGCUCUGGCCCUGUUUCACAAAAACUUUAAAAUCUCAUAAAAUACUAUUCAUAUGAUCGUUUCAUUACUUCCUUAUGAAAAUAGAUUCAUCUAGGUUCAAUUACAUAAUUUAUUCACUAUUUAAUUCCAUUCUUACUAUUUUUAGUGAUUUUUCAAAUCCACACCACUGCUGCUGUCAGCAUUUGUUUUUAAGGUAAACCUUACCUAUUUCAUGGUUUUCCAUGAAUCAACUAGAGUUUGUCAUACAUAGCAUCAAAAUAAUCAUAAUUAACCAUUCCCAAUGGCUAAUCGUUACCAAACAUUUCCAUACCUCUCAAUGAGCAACAUACAAGACGAUUAUAAUGCUAUGCUCAAAGUGUAUAUAAGCCAUUUUCGCAUGGCUAUCCAAAUUUAUACAAAACCAAAGGGUACAUGACCAACAACAAAAAGGGUAGUCCUAUACAUGCCAUUUCAGAGUUCAACCAAAAGUGUACCAAGGGGGGGCUUUGAUAGUGUGGACGACUUCGACUUCGACAAUCCCGAGUCUGAUAGCUGACGAACCAAAAUCUAUAAAACAGAGAAUCAAAGAAACGGAGUAAGCAUUUAAUGCUUAGUAAGUUUUGAAUAAUGAAAUUAGUUUCGGCUAAGGUAUAACAUUCAUAUGGCUAAAUGGAUAACUUCAUAUAUGCACAUUCUCAUAAACAUACUUACUUCACGCUUCAAUCAAUAUAUUCAUUCACAAGGUAUCAAACCUAACUAAAGGCCGAAAAUUCGUUAAUCAAUUGAAUGAAUACUAUUUAAAACGAAUCGACUUUUCCGAUGCAUAUACGAAACAUACCUCAUCGUUUGGAUUUUAUGAGCGUAUUAAUUUGAAAUUUACAGCAAGAUCGCUCAUUCCCAAACCAAGUACCUUCGGAGUUUAGCCGGAUAUAGCUACUAGCUCAAAUGCCUUCGGGACUUAGCCCGGUUAUAGUAACUCGCACAAAUGCCUUCGGGACUUAGCCCGGAUAUAGUAACUCGCACAAAUGCCUUCAGGCUUAGCCCAGAAUUAGUCACUAGCACAAAUGCCUUCGGGACUUAGCCCGGUUAUCAAUCUGAAUAUCCAUGCACAUAUCAAUAAAUCAUGACACAUCAAUAUUUCAUUUUCAUAACUAGAAUUCAAACACAAUUCACUUAUCAAGCAUUAUCAUUCUCGGCUCAAUAGCUACAUACAAAGGGCAUGAUUUUGAUUUGCUUAUAACAUAAUCUAAUCGAAUCAUAAUCUAAGUUUCAUUACUCGAAAACUUACCUCGGAUGUUGUCGAACGAUUUCGACGGCUAUUCGAUCACUUUUUCCUUUCCCUUAUCCAACUUUGGUCCUCUAAGCUCUUGAGCUAAUUCAAACAAAUUUAACUUAUUAAAGUCUCAUUAUGCUAGCUUAUGGCCGAAUAUGACAAUGAAUUUGAUAGGUCAUAUGGCCACCUUUAGCUCAAAUACAAAAUGGUCAUACGCAUUUUUAAUCACAUUAAGCAAUUUAAUACCAUUAAUCUAACAUUUCCUCAUGUGCAACUUUAUGACCGAAUACACAUAUCAUUAACUCAAUAUCAAUUAAAUAAGCACUUAAACAAAUUCUCUUUAACUAUACACACAUUCGGCAAUGACAAAGACAAUUUAGCAAACCUUAAAUUCAACUUAUAACAAUAUAUAUAUUCAAUAUUCAAAGCAUUUAACAUCACUCCACCAUAAUUUUUACAUCAUGGCCGAAUGUUCCUUUGAACCAUUUACCCUUACAAGGCAUAAAUUUCACCAUCAAAACUAACAAGCUUAUAAUCCCAUGACCGAAACCUCUAACAACACCAAUUGAGAAUACUUCAUGGGUUUGAGGUAAAACCAAGAAAGAAACUCAUAAAUAUCGAGAUAUAAGCACUAACAUUGUUCAUCUAGAUUUAGCAUGAAACAACAUCCAUCACCCUUAUAAUUACCAUAGCCGAAAACCUUACUCAUUCCAAAAUCCAAAUCUCAACUUGGGUCACAAAAAUAACUUGAUAUCUCAUCAACACAACAUCAACACCAAGCAAGAAUGAUACAUCCAUGGCCGAGUGUCAUCUCCAUCACAUAGCAAGAUUUAGACCAUGGGCUAGGUAGAACUCAAGCUAACAACUAAAACAUGCAUGCAUCUCAUGAACAUCAUCAAACAUACCUUAGUCUAGCAAACCACCAUAGCCGAUUUCCUCAAAGCUCUUUUUCCUUCUUUUUCUUUCUUCUAUUCGGCCAAGAACAACAUGAGAGCUUUUUUUUCUUUCUUUUUCUUUCUUUUAUUCGGCCAAGAACAACAUGAGAGCUUUUUUUUUCUUUCUUUUUCUUUUUUCAUCAUCAUUUACCUUCCCAUUAUUAUUUUAUUGCCCAUACUCCUUAUUUUAUUUUUCCUAACAUAAAGCAUUAACCCAACAUGUUCAUGACAUGUUUUUUUAGCCAUAACAUUUUGUCCACCCUCAUGCUCAUGGACGGCCACUACUAAUUAGGGGGGAAAAUUGACAUGCAAGUCCACCCUUUUGAUUACAUGCACUAAUAGAUCCUUAUAAAUUAACCUAUCACAUUUCAAAAGUGUCACACAUAAGUCCUAUUGACUAAAUUCACAUGCAAUUUACUAAAUCGAAGCUUAAAACUUUCACACAUUCAUAUUCACAUAUUUUAGACAACAAAUAUCAUAUUCAAAUAAUUUGGUGACUCGAUUUAGCGGUCCCGAAACCGCUUUCCGACUAAGGUCACUUUAGGGCUGUCACAGCACUGGGUUCAAGAAGGUUGUGGAGAGGCUCAUCAAAAUGGGGGUGGUGAAAUUCGAUAGUACCCCUAAUACUGAAAAUCCGUUACCAGACCAUGGCAAUCAAGGAGUGAAUGCCAUCGAUGAAAUAAAGAAAGGAAAAGUCAAGGAAGAUAUUGCUGAGGUGAAGACACCUAUGAAAGUAAUAUGGGAGGAGAUGUGAAAAGAGGUAUGCUGACCUCUAGAAGAGGAAGAGAAAGAAUGGAAUACUAUUGUGAAUUCCAUGGAAAGGUGGAUCAUAUGAUCCAAAAUUGCGAAGAGUUCAAGGCCAUGGUACAAGGCCUUAUGGUUAACAAAGAACUACAAGUUUCUAAGGGUAGUUCUUGUGAAGGACAAAUAUGUGUGCUGGAGAAUGAACGACAAGAAACCCAUCGACCGAGAAUUAUUAUUUUUUUGCCAGGGAAUAAUGAGGCGAUGUCGCAAACUGGGCCCAAAAUAGUCAUUCAUAAACCCAAUCAUUUCCCUUACAAUGAUGAUAGGAGGGUGCCAUGGAGUUAUGAUUGCAAUAUAACAAUACCUGAGGGGGAGAGUAUAGCUAGCACGGCCAGGGGCACGCAAAAUGAAGGUUCCCAUACACGAAGUGGGAAACGUUAUGAUGGGGGAAUAUCAGAGUGGAGCCCGCAAAGACGAAAGAUGCUGAGGUUGAAAGGAAGAAAGAGACCGAAGUACCCAUCAAUGAGCCGGUAAAGGAGGAAGAAGCUAAGGAGUUUCUAAAGUUCCUGAAACAUAGCGAGUACAGCGUGGUCGAGUAGUUGCGUAAGCAGCUGGCGUGUAUAUCAGUGUUAGCCCUACUCCUGAGUUCUGAGGUGCAUCGGGAUGCAUUGUUAAAGGUGCUUAACGAAACAUACGUCACCCAUGACAUAUCUGUCAACAAGCUGGAUCGGUUAGUAAACAACAUUAGUGUUGACAAUUUCAUCUACUUCAAUGAUGAUGAAAUUCCACCUGGGGGCAUAGGGUCAACCAAGGCCUUGCAUAUCACUACUCAGUGCAAGAGAUACACGCUUCCAAGUGUACUUGUUGAUAAUGGGUCUGCUUUGAACAUCCUUCUAUUAUCAACAUUAAAUAGAUUACCCAUUGACAGUUCAUAUAUGAAGACAUGUCACAAUGUGGUGAGAGCUUUUGAUGGAACUGACAGGAAAGUGAUGGAACGAAUUGACAUCCCUCUAGAGAUUGGACCGAAUACAUAUGAAGUUGAUUUUUUGGUGAUGGAUAUCAAGCCCUCCUAUAAUUGUUUAUUGGGGAGACCAUGGAUACACUCGACAGGAGCAGUGCCUUCUUCAUUGCACCAAAAAUUGAAGUUAGUGACAGAUGGACGCUUAAUAACCAUCAACGCGGAGGAGGAUAUCAUAGCAGCAGUCAUUAGCAAGGCCCCUUAUGUUGAGGCCAAUAAAGAGGCUAUUGAGUGUUCUUUCUGCUCUUUAGAAAUCAUUAAUGCCACCUUCAUUUCAGAAGGAAGUGUGAUGCCGGCACCCAAAAUGUCUAGAGCCACGAGGAUGGCUCUACAAAUGAUGAUAGGGAGGGGAGCAUUUCCAGGAAAAGGGCUAGGAAGAAAGUUGCAAGGAGGGGUUCAAAUCCAAAAAUUGAUUGAGAAGAAGGACCGUUUUGGCUUGGGCUUCAAGCCAGACCACAAGCACAAGGGGCAGGAAAUAGAGAAGCGCCAAGCGAGAAGAAAGGCGCGUUUGAAUGGAAGAGAAGUGGAGUGGGAACCGAUGACAUUCCCACCUAUAUCCAAAUCUUUUAAGUCAGGAGGAUUGCUGAUAGAGGAAAGUCAUCAAGUUAAUGCUGUACAUAAUAAGGGAUCGGAGCAAGGAAACCUCGAGGACAUUCGCCCUUACAAAUCGGGGAGCUCUCUAAAUAAUUGGAUUGCGGAGGACCUUCCUGCAGUCUUUAGAAAUUUUUCAGAGUAAUUCUCGGAACAUGUUUGUUACUCUAGGGCCUAGGAGUAGUAAGAUUAUGUUUGUGAAAAGAGGUCUAUGUUCAUCUAUAAUUAUUUAAAUAAAACAUAACUUUUAUCAAUUUAAAUGAGUAUUGUUUCAUUUUUAUCGACCAAUAUUCCUUUAAAUUCUGGCAAUUCUUAUUCUUUUAUUCAUAGCACAUAAACAAUCAUUCUUAGAUUCAUUCAUUCUUUGUAUAUUCUUUCAUACCCCCACAGGUCCCUAGAUAUCAAUGAUAUGAGCGCUAAUACUGCAGCUCCUAAUUUCUCUGGUGAGCAAAACAUGUGUUUAGAGGAACCUCAGGAUUUUGAAGAUGUUCAAGAUUGUGACAUUUCUCUCGAUUUGCUAAGAAUGGUAAAGCAAUAGGAGAAACAAAUCAUGCCACAUGAGAAAGAGGCAAUACAGAUUAUAACCCUAGAGGAGAGGAAGGAGUUGAAAAUCGAAACCCUAAUUAGCGAGUACACAAGACAUGGUCUGGUUGAGUUGCUUCGAGAGUUCAAGGAUAUCUUCGCCUGGUCAUAUCAGGAUAUGCCCAGAUUGAGUACUGACAUUGUGUACAUCGACUUCCGAUAAGAUAGGAUUGUAAGCCAGUCCAACAGAAGUUGCGAAGAAUGAGGCUAGAUAUCGUUUUGAAAAUAAAUGAUGAAGUCAAGAAGCAGUUCGAUGCAGGAUUCUUGCAAGAAGUGAAGUACUCCGAAUGGGUAGCUAACAUUAUGCCUAUUCCUAAGAAGGAUGGAAAGGUAUGAAUGUGUGUUGAUUACAGAGAUCUGAACAAAGCAAGCCCAAAGGAUAAUUUUCCUUUACCACACAUUGACACUUUAGUAGACAACACAGCGGGAUAUUUGUUGUUCUCCUUUAUGGAUGGUUUCUCAGGAUACAAUCAGAUAAGGAUGCAUCCGGAGGACAUGGAUAAAACCACAUUCAUAACCUUGUGGGGCACAUUUUGCUACAAAGUAAUGCCAUUUGGACUAAAAAAAGCAGGGGCAACAUACCAACAGGCCAUGGUGAACUUGUUCCACGACAUGAUGCAUAAGGAUAUUGAGGUAUAUGUUGAUGAUAUGAUUGCCAAGUCGCACUUAGAAAAAGAGCACAUUGAGGUCUUGAGAAUAUUGUUCUUGAGGUUGAGAAUUUCAGUUGAAGCUCAAUCCAGCAAAGUGUACUUUUGGAGCCAGAUCAGGAAAGUUAUUAGGCUUCGUAGUCAGUGAAAAAGGAAUUGAAGUCGACUCAGACAAGGUCAGAGCCAUACGAGAGUUACCUCCACCACGUACUCAGAAGGAAGUUCGAGGAUUCCUAGGAAUAUUUAAUUACAUUGCUCGGUUCAUUUCACAACUAACCGAGAAAUGUGAUCCUAUCUUUCGCCUUCUCAGAAAGCACAAUCAAGGUACUUGGGAUGAGGAAUGCCAGAAUGCUUUUGAAAAGGUCUAGCGGUAUUUGAUGAAUGCUCCGGUAUUGUCUCCACCUAGCCCAGAUAAACCAUUAAUACUGUACUUGUCAGUGUUCAGUAAUUCUAUGGGAUGUGUGCUUGGCCAACAUGAAGAGUCAGGGAAAAAGGAGAAGGCAAUUUAUUAUCUCAGUAAGAAGUUCAUUGACUGUGAGAUGAGAAAUUCACCAAUUGAAAAGUUGUGUUGUGCGCUGAUUUGGACAACUCGGAGAUUAAGACAAUAUAUGCUAUACCAUACCACUUGGCUUAUCUCAAAACUUGAUCCGUUGAAAUACAUGAUGGAGUCAAUGGCUCUAAAUGGGAGAAUGGCGAGAUGGAAUAUUUUGCUUUCGGAGUUUGAUAUAGUCUACAUAAGUCAAAAGGCUAUAAAAGAAAGUGCGGUAGCAGACUUCUUGGCUAGUAGGGCUCUAGAGGAUUAUGAGACAUUGAACUUCGAUUUUCCAAAUGAGGAGUUGAUGUGUAUAGCAAUGACUGAAAAUUCUUCUUGGAAGCUCAAUUUUGAUGGGGCUUCUAAUGCAGUCGAAAAGUGAAUUGGGGCAGUCUUGGUAUCUCCAAAUGGCGAUCAUUAUCCUUUUACGUGCAAGUUGGACUUUGAUUGCACGAACAAUAUGGAUGAAUAUGAAGCAUGCAUCAUGGGACUUCAAGCAACUAUAGAAUGAGGUAUAAAAACCCUAGAAGUAUAUGGAGAUUUGGCGUUGGUUGUUUAUCAGCUUAGAAGUGAAUGAGAGACAUGGGACCCUAAAUUGAUUAGUUAUCGAAAGGUAGUUUUGGGGUUACUUGAGGAAUUUGAUAGCACCACCUUCAAUUAUCUCCCACGAGACGAAAAUCAGAUGGAAAAUGCUUUAGCAACCUUGGCCUCAAUGAUCAAGGCGAAUAAAGAAGAAGAAAUGAAGCCAAUUCAAAUGAGGGUUUACGAGACUCCAGCUCAUUGUUGUAACAUUGAGAAGGAAAGAAAUGACAAUAACCCCUGGUAUCAAGAUAUAUUGCGAUAUGUGAGAGAUCGCAAAUACCCUGAACAGGCCAGUGAAAAUGAUAAACGAACUUUGAGGAGGUUAGCUUGCGACUAUGUUUUAGAUGGAGAUAUCCUAUACAAGAGACGGAAAGAUCAAGUACUUUUGAGAUGUGUCGAUGCUGUGGAAGCUAAGCUAAUUUUAGAAGAAGUUCAUGAAGGGGUAUGCGGGACGCAUGCAAAUGGGUUCACGAUGGCAAGGCAAAUCAUGAGGUUUGGCUAUUAUUGGGCCACCAUGGAAGGGGACUGUAUCAACUAUACCAAGAAAUGCCAUAAGUGUCAGAUUUAUGGAGACAAAAUUCAUGUACCACAUUCACCUUUACUUGUUAUGACUUCUCCUGUAACACCCCGAACCCGAGACCGUCACCGGAGUCGAACACGAGGUGUUAACAGACUUUAAACCACUUAUAAAAAAAUUUCCCAGACACUGCCAAUCUGCAUACUAGUCGCUUAAAAAAAUCAUAUCUUGAGUUAAGAAACUCAGAAUCCAGUUCUGUAAAUUUUCCCUGAAACUAGACUCAUAUUCCCAUCUACAUAUUUUUUUCUAGAAUUUUUGGUUGGGCCAAUUAGUACAGUUUAUUAGUAAAAGUCUCCCAUGUUACAGGGAUCGACUACACUGACCUUUGCGCAUUACGACUUGGAUAUCUCCCUGUACAGGGCUUCAAUACUGAUGUAGUUUGUUUCUAUAGAAACUAGACUCAAAGAGGAAUCUAUACAUAUAUGGCAUGACUCCUAAUUAUCUCUGGUUAAUUUAUAAUUAAUUUCCAAAGUCGAAACAGGGAAUCCAGAAACCGUUCUGGCCCUGUCUCACGAGAACCUAAAUAUCUCUUAACAUACUGUCCAUAUGAUCAUUUCGUUACUUUCCUAUGAAAAUAGAUUCAUCAAGGUUCGUUUACAUAAUUUAUUCACUAUUUAAUUCCAUUCCUAAUAUUUUUAGUGAUUUUCCAAAUCUACAUCACUGCUGCUGUCAGCAUCUGCCUUUAAGGUAGACUUUACCUAUUUCAUAGUUUCCAUGAUUCAACUAGCCCUUUUAGCAUAAAUAGCACAAUUUAUGAUAGUGAUUAACCAUUCCCAUGGCCAAUCCUUGUUAAGCAUAUCCACACCUCUCAAUAACCAUAUCCAUACCAAAUGAUUAUAACAUUAUACUCAAACAUAUAUAAGCCAUUUUCACAUGGCUAUCCAAAAUUAUACAAGUCCAAAGGGUCCAUGACCCCCAACAAAAAGGGUAGUCCUGUACAUGCCAUUUCGAAGUUCAACCAAAAUUGUACCAAAAGGGGGGGCUUUGAUAGUGUGGGCGACUUCGACUUCAAAAUCCCGAGUCCGAUAGCUAGAGAACCAAAAUCUAUAAAACAGAGAAUCAAGGAGACGGAGUAAGCAAUUUAUGCUUAGUAAGUUUUGAGCAAGGGAUUCCAGCACAACAAAAGUAUAGCAUUCAUGUAGCUAAACGGAUAAUUUCAUAUGCACAAAUUUUCAAUAUCAUACUUACUUCACAUUACCAACCCUUUUAUUCAUACACAAAGAUCAACUUAGCCAAAGGCCGGUAGCUCAUUUAUCAAUUGAGCGAAUACUUAUUUGUAAGGGCUCAACUAAUUCAAAGCACAUACGAAACAUACCUCAAUGUUGGGAUGUUUCAAGCGUAUUAACUGAAAUUUUUACAGCAAGAUCAUUCAUUCCCAAAUCACGUACCUUCGGAAUUUAACCAGAUAUAGCUACUCGUUCAAAUGCCUUCGGGACAUAGCCCGGUUAUAGUAACUCGCACAAAUGCCUUCGGGACUUAACCCGGAUUUAGUAACUCGCACAAAUGCCUUCGGGCUUAGCCCGGAAUUAGUAUCUCGCACAAAUGCCUUCGGGCUUAGCCCAGAAUUAGUAUCUUGCACAAAUGCCUUCGGAUCUUAGUCCGGAUAUGGUCACUUAGCACAAAGCCUUCAGGACUUAGCCCGGACAUCAUUCAAAUAACCAUGCACAUUUAACAAUAAAUCAUGGCACAUUCGUAUUUCAUUUUUGUUAGCAAAACUUGAACACAAGACACUUAUCAUUCUUGCAAUUUCGGCUCAAUAGCCACACACAAAGAGCAUGAUUUUAAUUUGCUUAAAACAUGAUCUAAUCAAAUCAUAAUUUAAGCUCUUUUACUCAAGAACUUACCUCGGAUGUUGUCGAACGAUUCCGAUAGCUAUUCGACCACUUUUUCCUUCCCUUUAUCGGAUUUAGUUCCCCUUUGCUCUUGAGCUUAAUUAAACAAAUAAAUUGAUUUAAUCAUUUGAGCAUCGAAAAGAGGAACACAAGGCACUUAGCCCAUAUUUAUACAUUAGACAUUAAAGUCACAUACAUGUGAAAUCAUGCAUCAACUCAACAUAUUAGCCAAUAUUCACCUUAGCCGAAUUUUCUAAGUCAAGAUAAAGCCAUCAAUAUGUUUACCUAUGGCCAAACAUACACAUCAACCUAUGUACUCAUUCAUGUGGUCGAGUAUACAUAUUCCAAUAUGAUUUCAUUUCCAUUUCGUUUAACACUUAACUUUUACCACAUAUCAAAUAACCCAUUUCUUUACUCAUGUGGCCAAUUCUAUUCGGUCAUGCAUACACACAUAAAAUCAAUUUGGAGACUCUAUCAAUCCAACAUACAUUCGGCAAUAGUCCAUAAUUCUCUCUCUCGGCCACUCAUUUCCCACUUAACAAAGCUUCCAUUCGAACUCAUUUGUGAGUAUCAAUUAACUUAAGCUAUCUUUUAAACCUUUAUUUAUCACUUCAUGCCAAACCAAAGACCACAUUCGGCACUUUCAUCCACCAUUCUACCAAGCAUGUAAUAUUCAACCACAACCAACUCACAAUCGGCCCUAGUUCAUAACAAGGUAGCCGAAUUCUUUUUAUGGUUCAAACACUCAUCUAUCAUCAUUCACCUAACUUUAACAUGAAACAACAAAACUCACCAUUAUUAGCUACCAUAGUCGAAAACCUUACUCAAUCCAAAAAUCAAAAUUUCAUCAUGGGUUACAAAAAAUAACUUGAUAUCUCACUCAAGAUCAACUAAAAUUUCAAGAACUAAUAUGAACACCUUACCUUAAUAUUGACCUAAGAUGACCGAUGGCUUCACUCUCUUCUUCCUCCUUUCAAUUCGGCCAAGAAGAACCAAAGAACAGAACUUGUUUUCAUCACCAAAUGCUCUUGUUCCCUUUUUUUUUCUUUAGAUUCGGCUAGGAAAAAACAUGUAUGAUGAUCUCUUUUUUUUUUCUUUCAUCAUUUUCCUUUUUUCAUUUCUUUAUUACUAACUUUUUAUUUUGUUAUUCCUCCCAUGAUGAACCAACAUAACAUGUCUAUGACAUGUUUUGCCCAUCACACCUUGUCCACCCUAUUUGUCAUGGCCAGCCACUACUAAAUGGGGGGGAAAUUGACAUGCAAGUCCCCCCUUUUUCUUACAUGCACUAAUAGAUCCUUAUGCUUUGACCUAUCACAUUUCAAAAUUUUCUCACAUAAAUCCUAUUUACUAAAAUUCACCUACAAUUAAACAAAAUUCAAAUAUGAAAUUUUCACACAUGCAUAUAUACAUAUAAUAAGCAUCAAAUAUGACAGCUAAUUAUUUUUAUGACUCGGUUUAGCGAUCCCGAAACCACUUCCCGACUAGGGUCAAUUUUGGGCUGUCACAACUCUCCCCCACUUAAGAAAUUUUCGUCCCCGAAAAUUUCUACCGAUGCAUAGUUUAGGAUAACGUCCUCUUAUUGAAUUAUAUCCAUAUAAACAUUAGCUCAUCGAUAGAAAUUGUAAUUCAUUACUGAUUUCGCAUCGAUCCAUAAAAUCAUUUUCUUAUCCUAAGACAAAUACAUAAACAUUUCUACAAGUAUGCACAUAUAUCUCAUUUUCUUGAUUUCAUAAGCAAUAAUCACUUAAUUUAAUUCACAAAUGCAUUUCAAACACAUAUUAAGCACAUAUUAACAUGUAUAAUUCACAUCAUCAACCCACAUAUUUGUAACCCACAUUUUCAUUCAUGUAUAAGCUGUAAUCUGACCAAAAGUACACAUAUACUCAAACAUCCCAAUAAAUAUCCUUAAUAACUCCAUCAUAUCUCACUAUUUAACUUAUUUCAUUUCCAAAAGAAAAGUCAACUUCCACGUACCUGAACAUUUAGUUCAUUUAGCACAUUCAAUCAUAGUUAACGUUACCCGUAUACAGUCGAAUAGGCAUAAAGCCUAAUAUAAUACUCUGGCAUGAGAUUUAUUCUAGCGCAUGACUCGUUUAUCCAAAAUUAUCAACAUUCAUCAAAAAUUCUUUCAAACUUUCGAAUGUCGAAACUUAAUCAAAAUAAUUUCUUGAACAAGAUUAACAAAAUAGUGUCCAUUCAGCAAUAGCACAUAUAGCUCUUACAAUGCCAUAUCCUUGAUAUGGUCUUACAUAUUCUCACAUAUCGAGUCGAUGCCAUGUCCCAGAUAUGGUCUUACACACUAUCUCAAAUCAAUGCCUUCGUCCCAAACGAGGUCUUACAUGAAUUUCACUUCACACACUUAGUGCCCACUGACCGAUCUCGCACUCAUAGUGCUCGGUUAAAGGAAUUCGCACACACACAGUGCCUCUAAUUAUUCACAUACAUAGUGCUCUUAUUCAUUCGUUAAUACACAUUGAUAUGACUUAACCAAGUCUAUAAACAUCAUGUAUGUACACUUUUAAACAUAUCAUCUCAUUUAAUUUUGAAUUCGUAUAGUAAUGAAUACUUAAACUUUGCUCAAAUUACCGGCACGAAGCCUACUAGGCACGAAGGCCCGAAUACACGUCACCAGCAUGAUUGCUCUUCGGGACCUAGCCCGGAUAUAACACCAGCACGAAUGCUCUUCGGGGUUUAGCACGGAUAUAUCACUAGCACGAAUGCUCUUCAGAACUUAGCCCGGAUACAUCACUAGCAUGAAUGCUCUUCGGAACUUAGCCCGGAUACAUCACUAGCAUGAAUGCUCUUCGGCUUUACAAGCUCGCUCGACAAGUACUACGAACUCUCGUAUUUCAAGAAUGCCAACGAACAUUUUUAUAUCUUCAUUCAGCCCAUCCUCGAAGCGUUUACACAUGAUAGCCUCGGACGAAACACAUUCCCGAGCGUAUCUACUAAGUCUAACAAAUUUUCGCUCGUAAUCAGUAACUGACAUAGAACCUUGCUUAAGCUCAAGAAAUUUCUUCCGUUUUUGAUCAACAAAUCUCUGACUGAUAUACUUUUUCCGAAACUCAGUUUGGAAAAACUCCCAAGUUACUUGCUCUCGGGGCACAACAGAAGUCAGAGUACUCCACCAAUAGUAGGCAGAAUCGCGUAGCAAGGAGAUAGUACACUUUAGGCAUUCAUCGGGUGUACAAGAUAGCUCAUCGAGUACCCGGAUAGUGUUGUCCAACCAAAAUUCAGCUUGCUCGGCAUCGUCGCUAUCCGUAGCUUUAAAUUCAGUAGCCCCAUGUUUUCAGAUUCUGUCAACUGGGGGCUUAUUUGACCUUAUUUGGUCAGUUACCGGAGGUAUUGUAGGUGCGGGGGUGGUAUUUGUCGGGAAUGGAGGUUGUGGAAUACCCGUAUUAGUUCGAAUGUAUUGGUUGAACCAAUCAUUCAUCACGCUAUAGAAAGCUUGUCUAGCUUCAUCAUUCGGGUUACUAGCAUUAGGUUGAGAGUCCGCCGGCGCUGUCCCUUGUGCGGGAGCAGGCGCUACACUCUCAAGAUCAUCAGCUACCACUCGGUCGGGAUCGGGAUCCAUUACUAUAAAUAAACACAUUUGCAAAUCUCAGAAAUCACCACACUAUCAAAUAAUCACAUAAAAUGGCAUGUAUAGCUAGACCCAACGCAUUACGGUAGUCCUAGAAUCGACUAAACCGUAGCUCUGAUACCAAUCAAAUGUAACACCCCGAACCCGAGACCGUCACUGGAGCCGAACACGAGGUGUUAACAGACUUUAAACCACUUAUAAAAAAAUUUCCCAGACACUGCCAAUCUGCGUACUAGUCGCUUAAAAAAAUCAUAUCUUGAGUUCAGAAACUCGGAAUCCAGUUCCGUAAAUUUUCCCUCAAACUAGACUCAUAUGCCCAUCUACAUAUUUUUUUCUAGAAUUUUUGGUUGGGAAAAUUAGUACAUUUUAUUAGUCAAAGUCUCCCAUGUUACAGGGAUCUACUACACUGACCUUUGCGCAUUGCGACUUGGAUAUCUCCCUUUACAGGGCUUCAAUACUGAUGUAGUUUGUUUCUAUAGAAACUAGACUCAAAGAGGAAUCUAUACAUAUAUGGCAUGACUCCUAAUUAUCUCUGGUUAAUUUAUAAUGAAUUUCCAAAGUCGAAACAGGGAAUCCAGAAACCGUUCUGGCCCUGUCUCACGAGAACCUGAAUAUCUCUUAACAUACUGUCCAUAUGAUCGUUUCGUUACUUUCCUAUGAAAAUAGAUUCAUCAAGGUUCGUUUACAAAAUUUAUUCACUAUUUAAUUAGAUUCCUAAUAUUUUUAGUGAUUUUCCAAAUCUACAUCACUGCUGCUAUCAGCAUCUGCCUUUAAGGUAGACUUUACCUAUUUCAUAGUUUCCAUGAUUCAACUAGCCCUUUUAGCAUAAAUAGCACAAUUUAUGAUAGUGAUUAACCAUUCCCAUGGCCAAUCCUUGUUAAGCAUAUCCACACCUCUCAAUAACCAUAUCCAUACCAAAUGAUUAUAACAUUAUACUCAAACAUAUAUAAGCCAUUUUCACAUGGCUAUCCAAAAUUAUACAAGUCCAAAGGGUCCAUGACCCCCAACAAAAAGGGUAGUCCUAUACAUGCCAUUUCGAAGUUCAACCAAAAUUGUACCAAAAGGGGGGGCUUUGAUAGUGUGGGUGACUUCGACUUUAAAAUCCCGAGUCCGAUAGCUGGAGAACCAAAAUCUAUAAAACAGAGAAUCAAGGAGACGGAGUAAGCAAUUUAUGCUUAGUAAGUUUUGAGCAAGGGAUUCCAGCACAACAAAAGUAUAGCAUUCAUGUAGCUAAACGGAUAAUUUCAUAUGCACAAAUUUUCAAUAUCAUACUUACUUCACAUUACCAACCCUUUUAUUCAUACACAAAGAUCAACUUAGCCAAAGGCCGGUAGCUCAUUUAUCAAUUGAGCGAAUACUUAUUUGUAAGGGCUCAACUAAUUCAAAGCACAUACGAAACAUACCUCAAUGUUGGGAUGUUUCAAGCGUAUUAACAGAAAUUUUUAUAGCAAGAUCAUUCAUUCCCAAAUCACGUACCUUCGGAAUUUAACCGGAUAUAGCUACUCGUUCAAAUGCCUUCGGGACAUAGCCCGGUUAUAGUAACUCGCACAAAUGCCUUCGGGACUUAACCCGGAUUUAGUAACUCGCACAAAUGCCUUCGGGCUUAGCCCGGAAUUAGUAUCUCGCACAAAUGCCUUCGGGCUUAGCCCAGAAUUAGUAUCUCGCACAAAUGCCUUCGGAUCUUAGUCCGGAUAUGGUCACUUAGCACAAAGCCUUCGGGACUUAGCCCGGACAUCAUUCAAAUAACCAUGCACAUUUAACAAUAAAUCAUGGCACAUUCAUAUUUCAUUUUUGUUAGCAAAACUUGAACACAAGACACUUAUCAUUCUUGCAAUUUCGGCUCAAUAGCCACACACAAAGAGCAUGAUUUUAAUUUUCUUAAAACAUGAUCUAAUCAAAUCAUAAUUUAAGCUCUUUUACUCAAGAACUUACCUCGGAUGUUGUCGAACGAUUCCGAUAGCUAUUCGACCACUUUUUCCUUCCCUUUAUCGGAUUUAGUUCCCCUUUGCUCUUGAGCUUAAUUAAACAAAUAAAUUGAUUUAAUCAUUUGAGCAUCGAAAAGAGGAACACAAGGCACUUAGCCCAUAUUUAUACAUUAGACAUUAAAGUCACAUACAUGUGAAAUCAUGCAUCAACUCAACAUAUUAGCCAAUAUUCACCUUAGCCGAAUUUUCUAAGUCAAGAUAAAGCCAUAAAUAUGUUUACCUAUGGCCAAACAUACACAUCAACCUAUGUACUCAUUCAUGUGGUCGAGUAUACAUAUUCCAAUAUGAUUUCAUUUCCAUUUCGUUUAACACUUAACUUUUACCACAUAUCAAAUAACCCAUUUCUUUACUCAUGUGGCCAAUUCUAUUCGGUCAUGCAUACACACAUAAAAUCAAUUUGGAGACUCUAUCAAUCCAACAUACAUUCGGUAAUAGUCCAUAAUUCUCUCUCUCGGCCACUCAUUUCCCACUUAACAAAGCUUCCAUUCAAACUCAUUUGUGAGUAUCAAUUAACUUAAGCUAUCUUUUAAACCUUUAUUUAUCACUUCAUGCCAAACCAAAGACCACAUUCGGCACUUUCAUCCACCAUUCUACCAAGCAUGUAAUAUUCAACCACAACCAACUCACAAUAGGCCCUAGUUCAUAACAAGGUAGCCGAAUUCUUUUUAUGGUUCAAACACUCAUCUAUCAUCAUUCACCUAACUUUAACAUGAAACAACAAAACUCACCAUUAUUAGCUACCAUAGUCGAAAACCUUACUCAAUCCAAAAAUCAAAAUUUCAUCAUGGGUUACAAAAAAUAACUUGAUAUCUCACUCAAGAUCAACUAAAAUUUCAAGAACUAAUAUGAACACCUUACCUUAAUAUUGACCUAAGAUGACCGAUGGCUUCACUCUCUUCUUCCUCCUUUCAAUUCGGCCAAGAAGAACCAAAGAACACAACUUGUUUUCAUCACCAAAUGCUCUUGUUCCCUUUUUUUUUCUUUAGAUUCGGCUAGGAAGAAACAUGUAUGAUGAUCUCUUUUUUUUUUCUUUCAUCAUUUUCCUUUUUCCAUUUCUUUAUUACUAACUUUUUAUUUUGUUAUUCCUCCCAUGACGAACCAACAUAACAUGUCUAUGACAUGUUUUGCCCAUCACACCUUGUCCACCCUAUUUGUCAUGGCCGGCCACUACUAAAUGGGGGGGAAAUUGACAUGCAAGUCCCCCUUUUUCUUACAUGCACUAAUAGAUCCUUAUGCUUUGACCUAUCACAUUUCAAAAUUUUCUCACAUAAGUCCUAUUUACUAAAAUUCACCUACAAUUAAACAAAAUUCAAAUAUGAAAUUUUCACACAUGCAUAUAUACAUAUAAUAAGCAUCAAAUAUGACAGCUAAUUAUUUUUAUGACUCGGUUUAGCGGUCCCGAAACCACUUCCCGACUAGGGUCAAUUUUGGGCUGUCACAUCUCCAUGGCCCUUCUCCAUGUGCGGCAUGGAUGUUAUCGGACCAAUAUCACCGAAAGCUUCGAAUGGACAUCUGUUUAUCUUCGUGGUAAUUAACUACUUUUCAAAAUGGGUAGAGGCUGCCUCUUAUGCUAAUGUUACUAAGUCAGCAGUGAGUCGAUUCUUGAAGAUAGAGAUCAUUUCUCGGUAUGGAAUGCCUAAGAAGAUCAUAUCCGACAAUGCAUUGAAUUUGAACAACAAAACAAUAGCGGAGGUUUGCGACCAGUUCAAAAUCAGACAUCAUAAUUCUUCCCCUUAUCGUCCAAAAAUGAAUGGGGCGGUGGAGGCUGCCAACAAGAAUAUUAAGAAAAUAGUGGGGAAGAUGGCUGAGACCUAUAGAGGUUGGCAUGAGAAGUUACCAUUUGCACUCCUAGCCUAUCGAACAUCUGUCAGAACCUCUAUUGGGGCAACUCCAUUCUCGCUAGUUUAUGGGAUGGAAGCAGUAUUACCUAUUGAAGUAGAAAUACCUUCUCUUCGAAUUUUGAUGGAGGUAAAGUUAGAUGAAGCUGAGUGGGUUCAAUCCCAUUAUGACCAGUUGAACUUGAUUGAGGAAAAGAGGCUAAAAGCCAUUCGACAUGGUCAGAUGUAUCAGAAGCGAAUGAUGCGAGCUUAUGACAAGAAAGUUCGACCAAGAGAAUUCCAUGAGGGAGACCUUGUACUGAAAAAGAUCCUUCAUAUUCAAAAAGAUUUUAGAGGAAAAUGGAUGCCGAAUUGGGAAGGGCUGUAUGUCGUGAAGAAAGCUUUCUCCGGUGGUGCAUUGAUCUUAGCGGAAAUGGAUGGGAAGAGUUUACCCAAUCCAGUGAACUCGGACUCAGUUAAAAAAUACUUUGUCUAAAGAAGAAGGGAAUCUAAGGUGAAAACUCACAAAGGGCGCCUUGAGAUUUUUUUAAAAAAAAUAACAAUAAUAAAAAAAUAAUAAUAAAAAAAUAAAAUAAAAAAAAUAGAGAGGCUAAGGUGAAAACUCGCAAAGGGUACCUUGUGACCAAAAGGGUUUUGAGUUGAAAACCCUAAAGGGCAGCUCAAAUUUUGAGGAGUACACAAUGAUCUUGCUACAAAGAGCGAAGAAUGUUGCAAACUGGGGCAUCAACAGAGUACUUGGGAUCUUUUAAACAUAUGUUGAACUCAAGAAAGAUUUCAUGGAGCUGGUGUAUAGGCACCCAAGUGGCGAUAUCUAGAGGAUCUAACUUCUAUCUUGUUGGUUAUCUUUAGAUUCUAUUUCUUCUAAAAGAUAGGCUAGCAGAUUAAUUCCCUUUUAUAUCUUUUUGAUAAUUCAUUCAAAUCCAAUUAUUCUUAAGAGUUUAUUCAUCUUCUAUUAUUCUUUAAGUAUGUUGCAUUGAAAUAAUAAUAGAUGAAUUAAAUAUGUUCACAAAUGAGGUUUUGCGCAUUACUCUGGAAUUUCUAAAUAAUACAAGAAACUAAAACAGGACAAUUGUUCGAGAAAUUCAUGUAAGUAAGGGAUGAAAGAACUUGUGGAAUUCCUUUCUUCCAGUCCAAAAGGAAAAUAGACAAAGCCAAUAAUUCAGUUCUUACAAACAUCCUCAAUGGAUCGUAGCAUUGGAGGACGGCUUACAGGCUGAGCAUGAAUGAAACUUUGAGAAAAGAAAAGAAAAAUGAAGGAAUGAAUGAUGACGUCUAGGAUAGGGGUCAUAUUCACAACAUUUUGCAUCAUAACAUGUUUAAUUAGGAACAUUCGACUCACUUCAAGCGUAGCAUCCUAAAUUAUCAGGCAUAAUCAUUCUAUAGGUUAUCGGAGAUAGUGCACUUUAAACCCCAAAACAGUAGGGUAAUAAGCCGCAGCAUAGCAGAUCUCAUGUUCAGAUGUUUAUGCUGAAGCAGAUCCAAGAUGACAGAUCUUAUCUCUCUGUAUUCGGCGGGGAGCAUAUUAAAGAUAUAGCUGAUUUGGCUUUCACGUGUUUACAAUGAAGCACAUCUAAGAUGAUUUGUUGCCUUUGUAUUGUCAGAGAACAAAUCGAAGUCUGGCAUUUCCACUUUAAUGGAAGGCAGACACAUAGCAGAUCUCACCUUCAGAUGUUUACGCUGAAGCAGAUCCAAGAUGAUAGAUCUUAUCUCUCUAUAUUCGGCAGGGAACAGAUCGAAGAUAUAGCUGAUUUGGCUUUCACGUGUUUACGAUGAAGCAAAUCUAAGAUGAUUUGUUGCCUCUGUAUUGUCAGAGAACAAAUCGAAGUCUGGCAUUUCCACUUUAAUGGAAGGCAAACACAUAGCAGAUCUCACCUUCAGAUGUUUACGCUGAAGCAGAUCCAAGAUGACAGAUCUUAUCUCUCUGUAUUCGGCAGGGAGUAGAUCGAAGAUAUAGCUGAUUUGGCUUUCACGUGUUUACGAUGAAGCAAAUCUAAGAUGAUUUGUCGUCUCUGUAUUGUCAGAGAACAAAUCAAAGUCUAGCAUCUCUACUUCAAUAGAGUGCAGAUACAUAGCAGAUCUGACCUUCAGACGAUUAGACUGAAACAAGAUCCAAGAGGAUUUGGCAUCCUUGUGCUUACAAGGAGCAAAUCGAAGACAUAGCUGAUUUAGCUUUCACAUGCUUAUGAUGAAGAAAAUCUAAGGUGAUUUGUCAUACCUGUAUUGUUAGAGAACAAAUCGAAGAAGCAAAUUUGGCGUCUCUGUGUUUGGCGGAGAGCCGAUCGAAGAUACCAACAUGAUAGUCAAGAAGAUUGAAGACCAUGAUUUGACCAGUCAAAUUUGAUAUUUUAAAUCUUUGCUCGAUUCCCGUUACACAGCAAUGAGCAAGAGGGGCAGCAGUAUUAGCCCAAAUUUGACCGGGCUGACGAUAGAAUAAAAAGGGUUAAAUAAAUAAGUAUUUAUCUAUUUUAAAAGUCCAUUAAAAGUCUAUAUACAGAGUCCAAAAGAAUUAAAUCCCAGCAGCCCAAAAUACACCUGUAGCCCAAUUUAAACCAAACCAGGUUACACCUAAGCCUAAAUAACAGACCUUAGACUAAAGUGGCCCAAAAGGCCCAAAACGGUAAAAACAGACAAGGAAACCCUAGGGUUUCCUGAGAACACAACGCCGCAAGGAGUUUCUAGAAGUUUCAGGCACUCCAAACGACGUGACCUUUCAUCUCACAGAUUCAACAGCCCGAUCGUCACCACCAAGCACGCCAUGAUUUCUCGUCUCUAUCACCACUAGACUUUAGGCCUCCAUCAACGCUAGCAACCUUCCAUCACCGAGAUCUUCGGGGUACCUGCAAGAAAAGAAAAGAAAUCAAAGCAAAAGGCAGCAGAUAUACUAGAGCAGGAAAUGGAAAGAAAUAUUCUGAUUUCUUUCCAAAAUAGGCAGUAGUCUGAGGCUAUAAAGCCUUUCGCAAAAUCUGUAAAUAGGAGGAUACGAGAAGAAAACAAAAAUACAGAAAAAAGAUUUUACUAGCAGUUGUAUCCAUUUAGAGCAGAAGAAAUAAAAAAGCAGUUCUUUUUUCGUUUCUUACGGUAAUCAAAUCAUUUUUUUAUUCUUUUCUUUUUCUUCUAUUUGUUUUCUGACCUGUAUACAUUGAUUUGAGAAAUAAUAAAAGAAAAUAAAAGAAAAGGGAGGCUACCUGACGAUUGGCGAAGGAAGGGAAUGGUUUUUCGAACCCUAGACACCGUGCGCGGUGGUCCUUAGGGCAGCG
rnacentral:lncRNA from 1 species